rnacentral:rRNA from 1 species
UGGGGAAUAUUGCACAAUGGGCGGAAGCCUGAUGCAGCGACGCCGCGUGAGGGAUGACGGCCUUCGGGUUGUAAACCUCUUUCAGCAGGGACGAAGCGGCUGAGUUUUCUCAGCCAUGACGGUACCUGCAGAAGAAGCGCCGGCCAACUACGUGCCAGCAGCCGCGGUAAGACGUAGGGCGCGAGCGUUGUCCGGAUUUAUUGGGCGUAAAGAGCUCGUAGGCGGCUUGUCGCGUCGUCCGUGAAAACCCACAGCUCAACUGUGGGCUUGCGGUCGAUACGGGCAGGCUAGAGUUCGGUAGGGGAGACUGGAAUUCCUGGUGUAGCGGUGAAAUGCGCAGAUAUCAGGAGGAACACCGGUGGCGAAGGCGGGUCUCUGGGCCGAUACUGACGCUGAGGAGCGAAAGCGUGGGGAGCGAACA